rfam:Ictidomys tridecemlineatus contig092871, whole genome shotgun sequence.
UGGGGUGUGGCUCAGCCAUAGAGCACUUGCCUCUCACAUGUGAGACCCUGGGUUCGAUCCUCAGCACCCCAU